GCAGGGAUAGCUCAGUCAGUAAAGCAGGAGACUUAAUCUGAGGGUCAUGGGUUCAAUCCCCACUUUGGGCA